GGUUUGAACAAGCGGCGGGGAGCCACUAGAGGUGCCACUGCUGUUGGCAUCCCCUGCCGAUGGUCGGGGUGACUGAGGCGAGUCUCAAGAGUCUAGCGUCAGUCAGCCUCCCUGUUAAUCAGCUCACUCCGCACCAUCACAGUAGCAUAAUCCCAGUUUAGCUUUAUUUAAAACCAUUUCCCGCCUGGACUGUAAGUGUCCAAAGCAGAGGUUAUGUGGGUGUUAUUUAAAUCUUUUCCAACUGUUCCUAGCACACAGUUGGUGAAUAAAUAUCAGUUGAAUAAAGGCUGAGUAAACCUGGCAGACCUUAAUUAACAUUAAUUUGUCCUAACAAGUUUCCAUUUAAGGAAAGGUGGACACCUAUUGAUAGUUCUUAGUUCGGGCUAAAGAGAAAGGUGCUGGUAAACAUAGCAAAGAGUACACCCUAUUGAGACAAAGGCCAUAGUCUGAGAAAUAAUUGAGAAACAAUUAAGGCAGAAAAGUGGGAAAUGAGCCAGGAGGUCUGUCUGUAUUUAGUGUUAAUCUGGAAAUCCUGGGCAACACGAUAGGGAAAGAAAAAGAUUAUAAAUUUUGUAUUGGGAAAGAAGGUCAUUUUCAAAUAUGAGAUUGCCUGUGUGAAAAACCUAAGAAAAUCAUCUGAAAACUUUUGAAUCGAACAAGUAUUUAAUAAAGGGUCAGUUAUAAAAACAUACAAAUCUCUGUGGUUUAUACACUAACAUUGAUAGUGACUAGAAAAUAUAAUGGAGAAAAGCGUACAGCAGCCCUGGAACCACAAUAGCAGUGAAAACCUGCAGCUGUUGGGAGGGGGCAGGGUGGGUUCAUCGCUUCCCAAGAGCCCCGUCCCCAGAGAACUGCCACUGUUUGGCUCAGCUGGCUCCUGGGGAAACCACGUGGAAAACAAACAGUGGCAGUUGUUUAACACAUCAGGUCCCUGGGGUGGCGAUACAAGUUGGGACAACAGGACGCUGACCAAAAAAUUUUAAAGGAAAACGUGGGAAAUUGAUGUCCAAAAGGGGCUUGGGAAAACUGGCAUUCCUGGGGCUCUAGAAAGAUGUGCAAGUGCAGGGCUGUGCACGUGUCCAGGAAAGGCCCGUGCGAGUGAGCCCGGACCUGUCACCUCCAGCUGCUGUUGAGGCACCGUGCAAGCAGGAGGUGGAGGCUGCGGCAGAGGUGUCAACCGCCUGAGGGGAUGUGAAAACAGACUCCCCCCCCCCCCCCCCCCCCACCCCGCACACACACACACCAGCCCUCAGCAGAUACUGGGAGAUGAGUCCAAAGUACUAGAGAGACCUCUGCCCAGUCACUAGCUGACCAGGUCGGCUAACUGAGCAGAGACUUCAGAGGCAGCACAGAGCAAAGGAUAUAGCUUUUAGGGGACUCAUCCAAGAAGGUUACUAAGCGAAAAAUAUCUAAGCUGUGGGGAGGGCUCUUACAGUGUUGCCACGGUAUUAUUUUAAAUGUUCGGUUUUCAACAACAACAGAACAUGAGACGUUCAUAGAAACAGGAUAGUAUGGGCCACACACGGGGAAAAAGCAGUCAUGGAAAGUGCCCCCAGGAAGCCCAGAUGUAAGUAGACGGAGACCUUAAAUCAGCUAUUAUGUAAGUAUGUUCAAAGAAAACUGUGUCCAAAGAAUUCACGGAAAGUAUGAGAAUGAUUCUCAGCAAAAUAGAGAAUGGCAAUAAAGACAAAUUAUCAAAAGGAAAUACAAAUUCUGGAGUUUAAAAUACAGUAAGUGUAAUGUACAUUUCACUAAAGUUCAACAGUAGAUUUGAGCAGACAGAAGAAUCAGCAAACUUGAAGAUGAGUCACUGAGACGAUCUCAUCUGAGGAC
ensembl:lncRNA